rnacentral:rRNA from 1 species
UACAGAGGUGGCAAGCGUUGUUCGGAAUUACUGGGCGUAAAGGGCGCGUAGGCGGUCUUGUAAGUCUUGUGUGAAAUCCCUCGGCUCAACUGAGGAACUGCACGGGAUACUGCGAGACUUGAGUUCGGGAGAGGGAAGCGGAAUUCCGGGUGUAGCGGUGAAAUGCGUAGAUAUCCGGAGGAACACCGGUGGCGAAGGCGGCUUCCUGGACCGGCAUUGACGCUGAGGAGCGAAAGCCAGGGGAGCAAACGGG